GAAAAUUCUGUCAUUAAUUACCUACCCUAAUGUCUUGCCCAAGGUUUUAACCCAUAAUACCUUGUAGCUUCAUAACAUUACGGUUGAACCACUUAUGUCACAUGGACUACUUUAAAGGUGUUCUUACUACCUUUCUGGCAGUGGCGGCUACUGGUCUGUCAAAUAGGGGAAGCUCAUUUUCGGCUAUUACGCUAGGUAACUCUGUAAAAGUGAAACAAGGAAUGUGUGAAAUGUAUGAUGAAAAUCAAGCAAUUUCGCCAAGCAAAUAUAAAGAAAUAGGUUGCAGCAGUUUUUAUUUCGACUGAACUUAAGAAAUCCACGAUGGGACUGAGCGCGAAUAGCUUCAGCGAUUCCGUAUAGUACAAAAUCGCUGUCAGUCAAAAGGAGAUGCAAUCUUUCGACAGACCCUCCAAUCAUGACGCAGAAGCUCGGAGUCCAGGCCAGCCCACUCCUCAUUUGCUCCUCAUUCACCCCCAGAGACGCUGAGCGUCCGUGGGCGGGACAUAAUCGCAGCGUUUAUCCAAUGACCGUCUAUUUUCAAAGCACUGAAAAAAAACGUUCAAAGCAGCCGCAUUGAAGUCAAUGGACGCUGGGCUUCAACGGGGAAAUGCACUGUGACGCUACGGGAAUGUAUGAGAAGAAAAUCAAGUCAGCCGACCUGCUAUAUCUAACUGAUUCUGAACGAACUCGUCUUUGAGAUGAACGUUUUCUAACGCAUUUUUAGUCAAUAAAAUGUUAAUACAAUAGUACAUAAUUUGACCAUUAAUUUUGUGACAUUAUAGGGGAAGCUGAGCUUCCCUUGCAGUCUUAAAGAAAUCGCCACUGCUUUCUGGGCCUUGAACAUGGUAGUUGCGUUGCUGUCUAUCCAGGGUCAAAAUGCUCUCACAUUUCAUCAAUAAUAUCUUAAUUUGUGUUCCAAAGAUGAACGAAGGUCUUACGGGUUUGAAAUGACAUGAGGCUUUCUCUAGCUAUGACUGUGUAAUAAGCACAACAUCACUCUCAACAGCCAUCCAAACUACAAAGUUCCUGAGCUCUGCAACAGUUCCCCAUCUCACAUGGAGUCAGAAUAAGACAAAGUCCUGCUCUGGUUUACCGCUGUGGUAUGAGUGUCUUCGUUGGAUUCUCUCAUCGGUUAUGAUUAUCACCUUAUGUGUAGUGCACAUAUGCUCAAAAUAUACAUCAAGGAGACUUAGGGCUCAAGGCAAACACCCCAAAGACAUCUGAUUGAAAAGCAUAGUUGCAGCUUCAUUACAAGUGUACAUACAUUGCAUUCUUUUUAAUUCAUGUUGACUUCCUGUCAAGUUACUUGCCAUCACUGAAAUUAUAUUCUUUAUUCAAAAGGUGGACAAAAUUCAGCCCCAAACUGCAUCAUUUUAUUCAAUGAUUUUGUAAAUAUUUUAGCUUUUGAUGUGUCUAUUUUUUCUUGAAAAAUAAAAAAGAGAUGUAAGGGAAACAGGUCAAUUUAGCUCAAAGGGAAUUUCAUUAUGAUUCAUAGCGAAUUUAAACAGAAUCUCAUUUUUACGGCUGAACACUCGUCAACCCGCGAUUCAUUGAAUGAGCCGUAUAACAUCAACUCUGCAAUGGAUACUAAAAUCCAAAAUAUAGUGAAAACACAAUUUAUUAGCACGAUAAAAAGACUGUUUAAUGGGGUCAUCAGAUGCCCAUUUUCCACAAGUUGAUAUGAUUCUUUAGGGUCUUAAUG